rnacentral:lncRNA from 1 species
UGCAUGUCACAGAACUUGAAGGCUUCGUACAGCUUUGAUUACAAAAAUGUGCAUUUUCUCUCAUCAUGGUGAUUGAAUGCAGAGGGAACGUUUUUUUCUUUAGUGUUGUUUAUUUUUCUUUUUUUCAGGCAUAAUGGAGUUUUGAACAGUAAAAUUGCUUUCUGCUUUUUCAUAGUUGUUUGGCUAUUUGAGAGAAAAAAGAAACACCAGACAGUGCAGCACUGCUACAGGGAGAGAGCUGUUUGGGAAUGAUGAAGAGGAACACUCUGACAGGGCAAUUCAUCUUAUCUGCCUAAAACUAGAAGAGGCAGUGGGGGAUAAGCCUAACAGCUUCAGGUCUGGUUGAAACAAUGAUCAUCUUGUUUUGCUUUGCUGUGGCCCCAUAACUGCAUGGCAAAUAAACAACAAGAUAUUCAAAAUACAGAAUUUGAGGGACUGACUUUUCAGGCUAAGAACCCAUGGAUCCGACGAUACUUGACGAGAACUGUCUGUUCUCAGUGCUUGUGUAAAUCACUCUUAUGACUGAUCUGUAAUGCUAAUAGCAGCUCUAAAAUUCAAAACUACUUUGCCAUCUUUCAAAGGAGCUUUGGUAAACCCUGAAGCAAGGAACUGCUUAUGAUAUUUUUACUGGUAAUGAUUAAUAAAUAAAUAAAUAAAAAGAUGUUGUCCA